GUGUCAGCAGCCGCGGUAAUACGUAGGAGGCAAGCGUUAUCCGGAUUUACUGGGCGUAAAGAGUGCGUAGGCGGCUUUGUAAGUCGGAUGUAAAAUCUCCCGGCUUAACUGGGAGGGACCAUUCGAUACUGCUUAGCUAGAGUGCAGUAGAGGGAAGCGGAAUUCCCGGUGUAGUGGUGAAAUGCGUAGAUAUCGGGAGGAACACCAGUGGCGUAGGCGGCUUUCUGGGCUGUAACUGACGCUGAGGUACGAAGGCGUGGGGAGCAAACAGGAUCAGAUACCCUGGUAGUCCACGCAGUUAACGAUGGGCACUAGGUAUGGGGAGUAUCGACCCUCCCUGUGCCGAAGCUAACGCUUUAAGUGCCCCGCCUGGGGAGUACGGUCGCAAGACUAAAACUCAAAUGAAUUGACGGGG
rnacentral:rRNA from 1 species